rnacentral:rRNA from 1 species
AAUGAACGUUGGCGGCGUGGAUUAGGCAUGCAAGUCGUACGAGAAGUCUUAAAUUGAAGCUUCGGUUGAUUUUUAGGAUGGAAAGUGGCGAAAGGGAGAGUAACGCGUGGAUAUCUGCCCCGAGACCCGGGAUAGCUGCGGGAAACUGCAGGUAAUACCGGAUAAUGUCUCCGGACCAAAGGUGUGAUUCCGUCUUGGGAUGAGUCCGCGUCCUAUUAGCUUGUUGGUGGGGUAAUGGCCUACCAAGGCAAUGAUGGGUAGCGGGUGUGAGAGCAUGGCCCGUCUCACUGGGACUGAGACACUGCCCAGACACCUACGGGUGGCUGCAGUCGAGAAUCUUCCGCAAUGGACGAAAGUCUGACGGAGCGACGCCGCGUGCGGGAUGAAGGCCCUCGGGUUGUAAACCGCUGUCAGUUGGGAGGAAAUGCUAUGGGGGUACUCUCCAUAGUUUGACCGAUCUUCAGAGGAAGUCCGGGCUAAGUUCGUG